GCCUGAACUCGAGUAGGCCCCAAGCAAGGAAGGAAGGAAGGAAGCAGGCAGCAGACAGCAGACCCUCUGCCCAGACCAGACCAUCCAGAACAGCUAUUGCUAGAAGUAAAGGGAAAAUGUCUUUCAGCUUUGUCAUUAGAAUGAAAGGAAACCCCUGUUCCUGUUGGAUUUGAUUUCCCUUAUGCCCUGUUACAGAGAGAAGAAAAGAGUAGAGUCACCAUCUUCAUGUCUGCAAGUGACACUCACUGGUUCCUUUUUGAAGCUAUUUUUCCCCUCCCUGGGCAUGAAAGUGAGAGCUGCCCAUAGAAAACAACAGAGAAAUCCAAGAUUUCAGCAGAGCUGUGAUUUAGAAGCAGUGCCAGUUCCUCCUCGUGAAGAAAGUUAGCAGCAAAGACAGGAGGUCAUGCUCUUUCCAAUGGAUUGUGAAGAACCUGGAAGAGAUGAAAGCUCAAGGGAUGAGCAAGAAGGGGAGAGGAGGGGGAAGGAGUCCAUGUCGACACCAUCAGAUCUCAUUACUUCAGAACCAAAUGGUCAGGACCUUGGAGCCACCACCUGCCUGUAACCGCAUUUGAAUCAACUGGAAGAAUGCAAAUGGAAACGUCAUUGGUACUGGUUUGUAAGUUGAAUUCUCAUGACCAUUUUGCACAUGCUAAAGGUUAAACAAAGUGGGUUAUAUCCUGAGAAGCUUAGGUGGCUUACAUACUGUGCAAUGUUCCAUGUGCCCUGUAAUACAACAUGCAUGCAGUUGCGCAUGUGCACUCUUGAGCAAAUGCAAAAAUUGUACAAACACAGUUGUGCAAUAGUAUGGCCAUUAUUUUCAGUUUCACAGUUGCAAAUGCAGCAUUCUGUGCAAAUACAGGUUGUCUUGGAGAGACUGACACCACUUUACCUUAGGAGGCUCAUUGCUCAAAGGUUUGAGGGGGGGGACCUGGUUUUUCUCAUUUGUUCACACCAUGUCCAGACAGCAGCACAGUACAUUGUUCAUUUACUCCCAGACUAACUACCAUUCCAAUUGCUAUCAAUGUUAAAACUGCUUUGCUAUAACUCUGCCAGUGCAUUAAACACUCUGCUUGCAGUUCCUUUUAUGGUAGCCUAGGGCAUCUGCCAAUUAAACCCCACUAGCCACCCGAUUUACUCGCCUCCCUGAACUGUCUUAUAGUGGAGCCCAAACACACAGUCCUCCUAUUCUCACAUAAACACACUAUAGAAAACAUUAUUGGGAUUAUUUGCCAACAGUCCAUGGCUAUGAUCCAAUCUGCCUUCAAAUACCACCACCACUCAAAUCCUCACACCCCCAAGCAAGCUCAACUGCCAUAUAAGCAGCACAGCCACACACACUAUUCUGUGCUGUUAAUGAAGCCUUUGUUGAUACAGCAGGGUUUUUGUUUUUUUACCAAUUCUCUAUUCCUCCAGACACCAGCUUUAUAAAACUAGGUUGCAAUCCACAAUUGCAGGCUAAUUAUAUGAACUAUGUAUUGUUCCUUCUUCAACAUUUAUUUAGCUCUAAAUAAAUGUGGUAUGCUACAAUCGGGAAGCAA